rnacentral:rRNA from 1 species
UACGAAGGGGGCUAGCGUUGCUCGGAAUUACUGGACGUAAAGGGCGCGUAGGCGGAUAGUUUAGUCAGAGGUAAAAGCCCAGGGCUCAACCUUGGAACUGCCUUUGAUACUGGCUAUCUUGAGUACGGGAGAGGUGUGUGGAAUUCCAAGUGUAGCGGUGAAAUGCGUAGAGAUUUGGAGGAACACCAGUGGCGAAGGCGGGUCUCUGGGCAGUAACUGACGCUGAGGAGCGAAAGCGUGGGGAGCGA